rnacentral:rRNA from 1 species
UACAGAGGUCUCAAGCGUUGUUCGGAUUCAUUGGGCGUAAAGGGCGCGUAGGCGGCGGGGUCAGUCGGGUGUGAAAUCUCGGGGCUUAACUCCGAAACUGCAUUCGAUACUGCCGUGCUUGAGGACUGGAGAGGAGACUGGAAUUUACGGUGUAGCGGUGAAAUGCGUAGAUAUCGUAAGGAAGACCAGUGGCGAAGGCGGGUCUCUGGACAGUUCCUGACGCUGAGGCACGAAGGUCAGGGGAGCAAACGGG